rnacentral:rRNA from 1 species
UCGCCGGGGAAUGCCAUCUUAGAUUUGCGGUUAUGCAAUACGAGCGGCAGACGGGUGAGUAACGCGUAGGAAUCUACCUUUUUCUACGGGAUAACGCAUGGAAACGUGUGCUAAUACCGUAUACGCCCUAUUGGGGGAAAGAUUUUAUUGGAGAGAGAUGAGCCUGCGUUGGAUUAGCUAGUUGGUAGGGUAAGAGCCUACCAAGGCUACGAUCUAUAGCUGGUCUGAGAGGACGAUCAGCCACACUGGGACUGAUACACGGCCCAGACUCCUACGGGAGGCAGCAGUGGGGAAUAUUGGACAAUGGGGGCAACCCUGAUCCAGCCAUGCCGCGUGAGUGAAGAAGGCCUUAGGGUUGUAAAGCUCUUUCGCCGGAGAAGAUAAUGACGGUAUUCGGAGAAGAAGCCCCGGCUAACUUCGUGCCAGCAGCCGCGGUAAUACGAAGGGGGCGAGCGUUGUUCGGAAUAACUGGGCGUAAAGGGCGCGUAGGCGGGCGAUUAAGUUAGAGGUGAAAUCCCAGGGCUC